UACGUAGGUGGCAAGCGUUGUCCGGAAUUAUUGGGCGUAAAGCGCGCGCAGGCGGUCCUUUAAGUCUGAUGUGAAAGCCCACGGCUCAACCGUGGAGGGUCAUUGGAAACUGGGGGACUUGAGUGCAGAAGAGGAAAGCGGAAUUCCACGUGUAGCGGUGAAAUGUGUAGAGAUCGGGAGGAACACCGGUGGCGAAGGCGGGUCUCUGGGCAAUUCCUGACGCUGAGGCGCGAAAGCGUGGGGAGCAAACGGG
rnacentral:rRNA from 1 species